ACAGCAGCUAUCUAAUGCAUGCCAAGAAACUGCUCAGAUUAACUCUUUCCUUGCCGGAUUAUUAAAGGUUUCCCUCCCUCAUUGGGGCUUUGCAUGCAUUUUCAUGUUAACAAACCUCUUGUAAAACAUGAUGCACUUUUUGCUGCGCCUAAUGAAGCCAGAGUCCAGUACAGAGUGCAAAAAACAUGGAUGGUCUUCUCCUCUUGAUUUGAAAGCGGUGUAAGGUGAGAUCUAAUACAGGUGUGGAUUAACGUGUGCUCCUUUCCACUAAGUUAUGUCUCUCGGGGUGUUUGGGAAAGGCCCCAUCCGUACCGUACUGUACGCUGCUGCGUCCCCGGGUCCCUGUGUCCUUCUCUCCAUCUGAAUUAUUCAUGCACCAAAGCCACGGCUCAUAUCUGUGGAGGCAGCAGCUUCCCCGCGUUAUGAGCCCGCAGUAAUGUGACUUUAUAGGGACCAAAGCUCCCUUUACUCAAGCAGCCAAUCCCACCGUCUUUACUCGCCGCCGCAGACUCCCUGACAUCCACCCUCUCCUUCCCUACCUCUCUGUUUCAUUUUCCAAUCCCUCUCUCUAUCCCCCUCGGUCUCUGUCUUCUGUGUCCCUCUCCCUCUCUCUAACUUUAUAAGGACAUACUCUAUAUACCUUCUGCUUACAGGUUUUCUUUUCUCUCCGUCUAAUAUCACACUCCUCUCCAGCCUCUGGCAGCUUCACAAAAACCCACUCCCAUAUAUCUUUUGAAGCCCUCUUUCUUCCUCAAUCUCCCCACCGCUCUGCCUGUUUGUCAGUCUCCUUAGCCCUCACUGAGCACUCAAUGUCCUCCCCCAAAUCAAAAAAAAAAAAAAAAAAAAGACACUGACCUGAUGUCUAUGUAUAGAAAUUUGCCUCAGAUGAACAUCCAUGCCCCGCUACACAGUGCAUGGAUGAUCACUGUAUCCAAGGGCAUUUGCCUUUAUUGCCACUGAACCAAACAGAUCAAUGCGCGUCAUGGGGGAUUUGCAGAGAACUAAGACGCACAUGGCUGCCUGCAAUAAUAUCACCCUUACAGAUUAUUUUCAAGGAUUUAUUUUUUCUUUGUUUCUGCUUGUCUGAAUUUUUCUCCCCUGAGUCAUUGAGUGUAAAGAUCAAGAUCCCUAAAAAAACUUGAACAGAUCUCCAGUCAAAGGAUGAUAAGCAGAGUUUGGAUUGUUGUCCCUAAAUCCCACUCAUCAUCAGUGGUAAAAUUGGAGCUAAAUUCUCAGAAAUACUGCUAAGUUCUUCUGAGAAAUACGAGUACCUCUAACAACCGGUAUUUCAAAGUACCUGACACACAGAAAACCCUCAUUUCAAGGAAAAAAAAUCUAUUAAACCUGUCAUAAUUUAUGAAUGAUGAUACAUAUAAAAAUCAUUUAUAGAUUAAAAAUGUAUAUACAUGUCUCUAUUGCAGGGUAGAGCUUUAAUCUAGAGUCCAUUAGGGAAAACAAUAUGAGCUGUUACAUACAAAACUAAUUCCACUCAAAGCGUAUCCCCUGAUAUUCUGGUUUGGAUCAUUAGAGCUACGAGUAAUGAUUAUUUUCUUUGUGGAAUAAUUUCCACAUUAUUUGCUUGAUCAAUUGAUUGUCGAAAAGGUCAAAAAGCUCGUGGAGAAUACUGAUUACAUUAUUAUUCAGAGUGUAGAUGCACAUAUUCAAAUCACUGGCUCUCUGCCACCCACUCUCUAAAGUCAGAGUAAAUAAUUCAAAACAGCAGAUAAAACUCACAUACGAGACGUCAUCAUCUACAAAUCUUACAUUUCUUUAAUUGAAAGGGGAGAAAAUGAUUCUAUUUUUGAUGGGUUGCUAGUUUAAAGUCUCGGCAGUGCAGUUAAUACAAAACAAAAGGUGCAGCAGACCAUCAAAUAUCAUGACAUAUGCUUUGUUCCAGUCAGAAGUCGGAUGUUGGAGCUGGGAAUGUCGUUACACCUGAGUUGACGGCAUUCCAGUAAACAAGUCCAAAAACAAGAUUAACGCCUACUGUUAGCCGUUGUUAGCUGACGUUUACAAUUGUCAGCUGUCGUUAGCCAUUGUCAGCUGUUUUUAAUUGUUAUUUACUCUUAUAAAAACACCUUAGCACAGUUAGACGUAGGGCAGUACAACAUAUACCACUUAUUUAAUUUCACAAAAACAAAACAAAAGUGCUAAUAAAUAAUACAUUACAACAGCUUUCACUGUUAGACUUUACUGUAGAUGCACUGAGCUGCCAUCUUAGUUUAUGAUGUCGUCAAGUUGCAGAGAUAGAUAGAGUACUUGACCCCAGUACUUGAGUAAGAGUACAAAUACUCCAGGUCAAAAUUUACUCUGCUACAAGUAAGAGUAGCCCAGACAAUACGUUACUCGAGUAAGAGUAAAAGAGUACUUGCUUUUAAAUGUACUUAAGUAUUCAAGAGUAAGAGUAAGAGUAAAUUCCUAUUUUUUCACAUGAAUUACUGUCGUUUUACAAUUUUAUUUAUAGUACCUUGAAACUCUUGUUUCAGAGAAUUAACUCUUUGAAACCACCUGGAGUUGGUGAGGCUCAUCCAACUUUCCGACUUCAGGGGCGUGUUCCAGAUGAAUUUCCAACUCGGAGCUCGGAAAUCCCAACUUUCGAGUACAACUUGAACACAGCAAUAGACCACCAAAAGAUAAGAUACCUGGGUCAUGAUAAACUAUCCAUAACACAAUGUUCUUAUCAAAAUGUCUGGUUGUCGGUUAUAGGCAGUGAUAUAUUGAUGGCGAACCUUACUUCAGCAGCAAUUGGAUGAGAUUACGACCGUUUUAGAAAAACUGUUGUCUUGUCCUCUGUACGAACAGAACAAAAUGCUUCUUUGUUCGUUGACAUUGCAGUGAAUGGGUCUAUUAAAGAGAUGCAAACCACAACACACAGACAGACUGACAAAGUGAAGGUGAAUAUGGAAAUGAAACAGACACAGCUUUGAAACAAAAGCAGGAUAUUUGAUCACAGAGUCCAGUGCCGGGCUGUAAAACUAUGAGUACCAUCAUUGUGGGAAAUUAGCUGCAGUCUGGGGUCCCUAUCAACAGAAGCAAACAGAAACAUCUGCCUCUUCUGAAUGAUCCCUCUGCAUGUUGAACGAUGAUGUGGCGGUCGUGCCACCACAUCAGUAAAACGCUGUGACUUUUAGUACAAAAUGACAAAUUCAUCGAGUGUUGUUCUGGCUUAGAUUUUUCAUCGAUGCAUUUCAUUUCGGAGUCUGACUUUUUUUAACUACUCUGUCAGAAAAACCUUAAAUUUAAUCAUCAGCCACAAAACCAAACAACAUCAUAACUUUGCCACCAAAAUGACAGCAGUAAAUCAAACCCAGUUAAUAAAUCCCCUUUCUAAGCAGGCACCGGUUCUCUGUCCCCCCCAAAAAAGAGACAAUUUAUUUUUAAUAGACUAACACAUGUAGUGGUGACACAUUUGUUACUGAUUGGCCCAGACAGGCAUGCCAUCAGGGGACAACAUGUCAGCUGUUGCCAUGGUAUCUUUUUUUUUUUUUUAUUCCCUCUUUCAAUUUCACAGAGCUGCACAUUUGAUACAUAUUCAGGCCAAUACCUUACCUCAAACGACAUUUCAAGUACAGCCAUUUUCUGUGUUCAACUUCAAACCUAAAAAGACCUUGGGCGUACAGUUGGGCUGGAUUGAAAAUGCUCAGAGAUUUUCAUUCGGGCACGUUAGAAAUAAAGGCAGUUUGCCUAUGUAAUAAAAACAUGAAAGGGAAUGAAGGCACAAAAUGAUCUUUAAUAUCCUAUUUUUAUUAAGCCAUUUGAAUAGUUUGAGGGCUGAGAGAGGGAACGAUCUAUGAUUAUGUGCUCUAAUGAUGGUAUUUAUACCAGAGUUAGUGCCUUUGCCUCUCCUGUCAGCUCUGUGCCGAUUUGAAGCUUGUUUUUAAUGUGUCAGCGUUGUUGCUUUUGAUUCCUCUAUAUUAGCUCUGCGGGCUUUCACAAGUCAUAGAAAUGUCUCCUCUGCGUUUCCCACAUUGUCACAGGCAGAGCAAAAGGGGUCCCUCUGAAAUAAUUAGUACGUUACAUGCUGUCAGGACCAGUAAUGCAAAUCAAAGUCAAACAUCUUGUUAUGUGAUAAUUUAUCGAUCCAGUCGGAGAAGAUAACGUGUAAUUUCCUAAUGGAGGCUGAUUGAAGAGUGCACCUCAGAGGGGACGGGGAACAGAGGAAACCGGAGCUCCUCUCAGCCAGCUGGAUGUGUUAUUUUUCCACUGCUAUGUUAUCUGAGCAGCGUGCUAAUAGAAAUUCUCUCUACCCUCACAUAUUGGAAAGAUAUUCAUCAUACUGCUUUCACUGAGAUGAUGCAGUAAUGCAUUUUGGACAGAGCAAUUCUCCUGGAAGCUUAGCAAGAAUAAUAUGUUCUUUUGCUACCUUUUUCUCAUUUUUGAUACAAGGUGCAAGUUUCCGUCUAGUGUACUAACUCCUCGUCUUUCAGGGUCAAAAAUCAAAACAAGAGCCAUGCUAAUACCAAAGCUACAAAUCUCAAGGAGGCGCUGAGGUUUCUAAUUUCAGGAAUACCUGCCAAGAAUCCGAGCUAAGCUUUAAUAUCAGUCCCAGAGGUAGUUUCACCUCAAGACGAUGAGUCUGCCAAAGUGUCAGACAGACUGGUGGUCGGAUUCAUUUCGUCGUCUGCUGAUUUGAAACUGAGAGACUUUACUUUUCCAUGGAUAUCUUUUUAAGAAGCUUUUUAUUGCUUCUGAGAUCAGCCAAGAUCUGUAGGUUUCUUUCUGUCCUUGGAGAGCUUAUAAAACAAAUCUUCCUCAGGGAAGACUACAGUGAUCUGUCUUUGUUGUAAUAACACAGUUUGGGCUGCUAGUUUUAAUAUUCCACAACUUUACCAAAGACAAAGUUAAGCUCAGACUGUAAUCAGAGGAGAUCAGAUCUCACAGGUAUUGGCUGGCACUGGUGUAUCCUUCUUUAUUUAAUGUGGUUAGAAAAAUGGUUUUGAAUGUGCUGCAUCAUAACAAGGUAAAGUUAUUUUUUAAGAUUGGAAAAAUAUAUAUAAUUUUGAUAAUCAUCACCCCUCUCUACACCUCACACUUGCAAAUUUAGCUGCAUCCAAAAGAGUGUGUAAGUUUCUCACUGUCUUCUGGACUGUGAGGAGGAAACAGCUGGGUGAAACAUUUGCAGUAUUAACUAUUCGAAGUAGGGCUGUAAUUUUUCAGAUUUACUGUCAGGGGGCUACUUCAGUUAGCUUGCUAGCAGUCUGCUACUCCUCUUCAUCUAGCACCCUCUAUUCUGUGACAUGUGGCAACCAGCGUACAGGACUGCUUCUAUAACCUCAUGGUAUUACUCAGAGAUAUACCAUAGUAGAUUUUAUAGACGCAAAGGUGCAAACAUGAACUACACAAAGACAUAAUCAAGCUGGCAGCCUCUUACAGGUUUUAUUUUAGUUACAGCAUCAAACACAACUCAUGACAAUCAGACGGACAGUAGAAGCCCAAACAACCCCCUGAAUCCCUUUAAUUGUUCCUUCUUAUACAUCCCCAUUGGCGUCAUUAGUCCUAGUCCCGCAAGCGGCCUUCACGUUGGUGUCUGAUAGCCAACAACGUGAUUUCUUGUGUAAACAAAUUUCCUCUCUGGACAGUUGAAAGUUCAUCAUGACCUGGACUCUCUCUGGCUGUAUCCUGUUUGCAGUUUCACAAUAACUUUGCUCCAAAAACACGUCUAUUAUUCGCUCCCACAGCACCGAUCCCUUUUUUCCUGAUACUGAUACCUGGGCUGAGCGUAUCGGCCGAUAUCCGAUACCUUUCCAAUACUACUGUUGAAUGAAUGAACUGUAAACCUUGCCCUGUGAGUGAAGGCAUCAGGCUUGACAUUAGCCUUGUUAAAAAGGAAGGUUACAAAUUUACACAGAUAUAAAUUUAAUAUUUAAUUUUAUUUAAUAUUUUUAUUUAAUAUUUAAUAUUAAUUUUAUUUAUCAACAAGUAACAAAUUGCACAUUAGCGCACAGCAACAAGAAGUAAGACUUCCAUGUAAACAUUUAGUGCAAAAGGAUAGACAGACAUAGAAUAUAGAGUGAACAGAAUUGCUGUGCUGUGUGUGAUAUAAAAAAAAAAAAAAGACUGGAUCGGCAUCUGAUGAAUGAUGCCGAUCCAUUUAAUUUGUCAAUAUCGGAGCCAAUAUCUGAUCCAAAUAUUGGAUCAAUGCAUCCCUAGUAUUACUGUAUGCCUAUUUUUAGCACAAUAUCAAUCAUUUCUUUGUUUGAAAUCAUCAACUCUGGUAAAUUACAACAGUCCUAAUUUAAAACGAUAAUACUAUAUUGUAUUGGCAGCCUGUUGACAUCUGAGCUGUGACUGAAAAAUCAGUAAAAUAAUUAUUUAGAAUCUUUAUAUGAGACAUGAUGUUUCUCAUUAAUUGAAUCUUGAAAACAAAUAAAGAUGCACAUGAAGAGGCUGACACAUGCCAAGCCUGCUAACUACUUCAUGCACUUUUUAGCUGCUCUAAUCUGCAAACAUUUCCCCACCAAAGCCCCCCGAGUGACGCUCUCUCCUUUCAUGUCUGCUGAAGCUCCGGAGGCAUUUAGCUUCAACCUCUCUCUCUCUCUCUCUCUCUCUCUCUCUCUCUCUUUCUGUCUGUCUUUCUCUCUCCUCAUCUUUUCCCUCUCUUUACUGUAUCUAAAGAAGUGUAGGGGUGUGUAGGGAUGGCUCAUCUCCGUCCCGACACCCUGACCCUCCUUCCUUACAGCACGCCGCAGCCCUUCUUGUCGCCUCAUCUGCAAAUGCCAGAGCGGUUUUGUGCCUCGGGGAGUAUGCAGAGAUCAAAUGGCCACAAUUCAAUGUUGUGAAUCACAGAACAGGGAGACUGUCACCAGAGGUCUCCCCAGAGCAUGCUGUGUGCCAGGAUGAAGAGGCCUGCUGAUCACUGACUGAUAGAGAACUCAAGGAUAACACCUGAGCUUCUCUCAUUGAUAUUGGCUGUCCCACUGACAGAUAAGAUAGACUUUGGUGGAAACGGUCUGUUUUGAUUCCCCCAUCUCAUUCGAGUGCCUAUAAAAGUGGCUUUUUCAGUUUGAAAUUGCUGCAGGGGUGUGGGAAACGGGACCUUGAAAUACCCUGCUGAUUUUCUUUGAAAUAAUGUCUGGUGUGAGAGUAAGAGCCGAAAAUUGACUUACUUUAGGGUUUGUCUCGCAAUGAAUGCAAUCCCCAAAAACCUGUUUAAAGCCGUCAACAUCUGUAAUCUAGAAAAAAAAAGGCAAGAUGUGUUAGAUUUCUUAUUAAAUGACUUUUCAUUUGAUCGAAAAUUAGUUUCUUGAUGAUAUUAGCAUUUUAGAGUAAGCAGGAAGUUAAAAUUAUUUGUUUACUUUUGCAAGAUUGUCUCCAUAAAAACAGGAAAGUCCUAUAACUGCCUGCUACUCAGCCUCGAUCGAAGAAAAUAAAAAGCAAUUCGAGGCACCUUUUCAGGUUGUAGCGAGGCUGACAGAGAGUCAAAGCCCCGUAGGGUCAUGCUUUCCUGUAGGCCUCCGCAGAGAUGACUUUCAGCUUCUUUAACGAUAAAAUCGUAAAGGUCUGAGACGAAAUCAGCCUUUUCCUGCCCUUGAAUAGUGCAGAUCUCUCUUUUUUUAAUAAACGCUGAAAACCUGACAGACUGUCUUUCACCAGGUAACUUUCCUGGACUCAAUUAAAAAAACUCUUCGUCUGAGUUGUCAACCUGUCUCUUAGAGUCCACACCAACUAAGCUCCUCAAAGAAGUCUUUUCUUUAAUUAUAACUUCUCAACUAAGAUCGAUAGGUUGAGUUUUGUGUCACUGUCAUUUAAUCCUCCUCCUGAUUCAGGGCAUGUUAGCUAACCAUAAGCCUGUAUCUGACCUUCUCUUUAUUGAGAAAAUUCUCCAGAAAGUAUAAACCAGACUCAGUAUAAUAAAAGUAUAAUUUUUACCAACAGGAGGGAAGGAGGAGAUUUCCGAUGUGUGCUCCAAAUUGCCCAGACUAGAGAGAGAGAGAGAGAGAGCUUGACACGGACAUAACUCACAGGUCAAAGUUCAACAACUUGUCAAGGAUGUGAGUCUUUAUUUUUCGCUGUCGUCCCCUCCUAUCAUCGAUCAACAGAACUCUCUGGUCAAUAUAGAUCUGUCUAUAUCUGUCUAUGAAUUAAAAUAAUGUACCGUGGGCUUACAAGCAGGGGCGGGUCAGACCUUUUUUACUGGGGUGGCCCAACUCUGCACUGACGCUGCUGGGGUGGCACAAAGUAUGUGUGUCACACACAAGUAAGUAGUAUUUAUUAUUGCAUUCAGUUACUUUAAAUGAUAAUUUAUAUCUCCAACAAGGCAAAUAACCAAAUAAGAUGUUUUGGGGUUUUUUCUACGCAAAGUUCAAUGUUAAGGUAGGCUUGCACUUGACAAGUAUCUCAUGUUAUUAAAAACUACAACUUAAAAACUAAAUCUAAAUUAUUAAAAGAAAAAAGACUAACUAAAAACAGCCUUAAAACUUAUCCAACUCAAAAACAGAAAGCCAAAACUAAAGGAAAAAAAAAAUCUAAUCUGAAUUUCAGAACUUUUAUGACCUUGGUCCCCUCAUUAAGAAAAGUGCAGUUCACAUUUGUUGAGCACACGUAGCACUGCAGCUUCAUUUUUAAUUUAAAUCUCCCAACAUGCAGAUAAAAGUUGUUAGAAUCACAUGUUUUUAAAAGAAAUAAACUUUUUCUUCCAAUCUAAAAGUUCCCCCACAGUCAGUUCAGGUUCAGACAGCCAAUGGUACGGUGCGCAAGAGCCCCCAUGUAAACUAUUAAAUCAUUUUGAAGAGACUAGAGCUAUUAAUCAGAAUAACGGGAACUGCUGUAAGCUGGUUUAAGCCAUAAUUAUCUGAUAAGUCUUAAGGUCCUUACACACCAGGAGCGAAGCAAAUACAUGACGCGAAAUUACGAAAUAUUUGGAGGUGAAUUUUGAUGCACCUGACUAUACACAUCAAGCCCGAUUCGAUUUUGCAACUUUCCGGGGGGGAAAAAAGAUGCAUCCCGGGUGGAAGCAAGAAGACUGACACAACACCAGACUGACUGUUUUUCAGUUCUGAUUAGACACUAGUGUUGAGAUGGCUGUCAGGGCCAGUACCAGAUAAGCACAUUAAACUAUAAUCCAUAAACGUAAGGAAACAACAGAGACCUAACGGCGCUGUGACAGCAACACGAUUGAGUUUGAGACAGUGAAAAUACAUAUGGUAUGUUGUAUCUGAACAGGUUAGCUUACGAGCUAAAGUUACUUAGCACAGAUGAAAGUUAAAACAAAGACGUUUAGCAAACUCUUAAAGCACACAAGCUAUUGUCAUGUGAGAAAUCCGACGCUAUGACUCUCCACAAGUUGUCCUUCAGGCCGUUAUCAUAGUCUUUUAUCAAAAUGCACUCUGUUCUCUGACACGUAAACAAUCAGCCAGUCAGCCAUGUUGGAUAUACCGAUGAGUCAGACAUCUCAACAACACGAAAACUUUAAAAAGUUUCGCACACUGAUACGAAAAAAUAAAUGCUGCAAUAUCGCAGGACGGGAAAACGUCGCUGAUGUGAACGCUUAGAUUGACAGGAUACAGGUUCGAAAAAAAUAUUGAAAAAAUAAUCACACAAAAAAAAAACGCUCCCAGUGUGUAAGGACCUUUAGUCUGUAAGUUAAGGUAUUCCUCAAGGUUUUGUACUCGGGCAGAUUUUUUUUCACCAUUACUUUGCUAUCAUUGUGUAUUUCCAGGUAUAUUGUAUCAUAAGCACUUGUCCUACCAAUUAAUAGCAUUAUUGUCAUAAUUGUUAUUAUUAAAUAGUCCACCUGAAGUACUUUCUCCUUUGUAAAUAUUGACACUGGAACCAGAAGGCUGCAUGAGCGGUUUUGUUGUCUGCGUCAAUCAGUCUCUUUUUCUGCACCUCUUUUCCAACACAGUCUCAGCAGGUGGCUUUAAUAAUAAUAAUGCAUCAGAUUUUAUAGCGCUUUUUGUCAGUUACCUCAAAGCGCUUUACAUUGGAUACAUCACUCAUUCGCUCACACAGUCACACCCUGGUGGUGGUAAACUACCUUAGUAGUCACAGCUGCCCUGGGGCAGACUGACGGAAACGUGGCUGCCAGUUUGCGCCUACGGCCUUGAAUCUGGCCUUGAAAAUGGAAUAAGAAGGAUCCUGCCGUCGUGCAGGUGCUUAAAUUUUCUGAUAUUUACUGUCCUUUAGUAACAUCACAGAUUGUUCAAAUGUGGUGCGCCUACGUGGCACCCCACAGGCCUUGCAAUGUGUAGUGUGCAAGCAUGGAGUGAAGCACAAAAAGUAGUUAUUUGCAUUUGAUUAGUCAUGAAUAUACAUGAGCCAAAGUAGAAUAAAGACCAGCCGUAUGAAUUUUGGAAUUCAGCCCGUUAUGCUUCGGUUCGAGUAUGAAGCUUUAAAAAAAAUUUGUGUUUGCAUAAUAACACUUACAGCAAUGAAUAUAACCUCUCGCUUUCCAAAUCGUUUCAGUUGCUAUGGGGAUCAAAGCUUUCUGCACGCUUGAGUAGGAAUGACUGUUGUUGUUGUUACAUAAGGAGCACAGCUACUUUGCAAGGCUAGCCGCUUUUAGGUGUUGAACUGCCAUCGUCUCUGAGUGCACCGCUACGUGGGCGGCUUGCAAACCCCUCAGCCUGAGGAAGGAGCUGAUCCGAUCUGCACUGUCAGCACCGAUGGGACUUCCUGGACAGGCAGAGCUGAAUCCUUGAUUGGCUGUCAGUCAGCGUCAGUCACUCUGAGGCCUGACUAUCAUUCACGCAGAACACACACAGGCACACAUACAAAGGAAUGAAACAGGCUUCGGAGAAGGCAAAUUUAUUUGCAAGUAAAUUGCAAAACUUUCAUUCGGAGAGAAUUACCCCUGAGAAUGGAUCGGUAAUGGUUGCCUGAGCCACAACUGUUCUGCAGCAGCAGUUUACUUGUUGAAAUGUGAGACGCUCAUUAGGCCGAGGGUUCCCUGAUGAGACAGUUUAAUUACAUGCCAUGGGGACUGGUGAAGUGGUAGAGCUGCCAUUACCACUUUUAUUAGUACUUUGAACCAGCAAAACACAACAUAAGAUCUUUAUAAUGUCAUUGUUUUCAUUGUUUGCAGUGGGCUAUGGAGCAAAACAGGUCAUGCAAGGUACAUGCAACGUUGUUGGGCUUUUAUUUUGUGAAACAGAGGCUUUUAUUUUGUGAAAUGGAUACACUGCAGUGCUGCGAAGCAUGUUUUUGUAAAGCAAGGUGAGCAGCUUAGAUUCAGCGCUACAGGGGAGAAAGUAGGUGUCAGUUCAGCUUCAGAAGAUUUAC